AUAUAUUUUUUUAUCCUUAGAUAUAUUCAUCCAACGGCUUAUACGAAGUGUUGGAUCCUCCCAGCACCACCCCGCUGCCUCUCCCUCGCCGCCUCGCGCCGUUGCCGGAUCCCCGCUGUCAGGGCGCCGUCGAUAUAUCGUCAUCUAGUCUCCGUCGAGCCGCUUCGCCCUUGUGUCUGCAUCGCACCUCGCCGUCGAUCCCACGCAGUCCGGCCAUCGUCGAUCCCCGCAUUAGCCUCGCGCCGGCACCGGAUCUCCUGCUGUCCGGUCGCCGUCGAUCCCUCGAUGUCCGGUGUCCACUGCGCCGCCACCGCGAUUCCUCGCUGCCCCCCCUACGCAAACUCAUCCGGAUCACGUCUCCCUCGCUGCUCCUGUCUAAGACAAAGGUGAAUUUAUGUUGAGUUCCAGCCGGACAAUUGUUUGGCCUGCAGUAUGAAGCUUGUGGAGCAGUAAAUCUGCCAGCGGGUAGGUAGGAGCAGGGUCUCAUUGAGUUGCUCCCGGCCAGGACUGCGAAGCUGUUGAUUCAUUGUCGUGUCAUGCUGAGAUAAAGGCUUUAUCUAAUUUUGGUACAUUCUCACAUAUUAUUAUACCAUGGAAUCAAAAUAUACCAAGGUAAGAGUUUUCAGCCUUGAAAAUUCACAUGUGCAUUGUUUCAGGUUCAUAUAUCUGACCCAAUUAGUGCCCUUGCCAAAUUCAGUUCCAGAACAACAUGCAAGUCCCAAUAAAAGUAAAACCAAAAGGUGAUCCGAACACUCUCCCCUCGUUUCCUCUAUACAAAAUCAGCCGCUGCCAAAAUUUAAAUUUUAAAACUUAAUUUUAAAGUUUUUUCAUCAAAGUUUAAUUUUUAGUAUUGGCAUUUAAAUCGUUACGAACACAUGUAGUAAAAAUUUCCAAUCCCACUUAAUGUCUAAUCUUUUCCUUUUGAGUGAAUUGAUGUCACAUGUUAGUAGCAGUAGCAGAUAUUUGCUUAUUUAGUUUCAGAUUUUUCCUUGUCUUCUGCACUCUUUGUAACAUCACCAGGCAAAAUAAUUGCAUUUUCUUUUGGUGAACAGUAAAAUAUGUGAACGUGUUUGUUAGGUUCAGUUAAGUAAUGUUUAUAUUUAUUUUUGAAUGUGACUACUUCAUGUGAGCCUCUGGAAGUAAACACUUAAAGUGGAGGGUAAUAUUACUGGGUUGAUUAAUGACAGCCACCGCAAGGUGAUUUAGAAGUUACUCCCUCCGUUUCAUAAUGUAAGUCAUUCUAGCAUUUCUCACAUUCAUAUUAAUGAUAAUGAAUCUAGACAUAUAUAUCUAUCUAGAUUUAUUAACAUUAAUAUGAAUGUGGAAAAUGUUAGAAUGACUUACAUUGUGAAACGGAGGAAGUAGAACAGAUGUGUGCUGCUCCAAAUAAGCCAGUGAUAUUAUCAGGUACUAAGGUGGGAGUUAUUUGAGUUGUGCGCCUGUAGGUAUUUAGGUCAAUCAUCUCCUCGCCUCAGCCUACCACCCUAUUUUGAGCUUAAAGAUUGAAUUUCAAUCCAUGUGACAUUGGCUUCAAGGUAAACAUGAUUUUAUUUUUAAGAUUGCAUUUUAGUUUGCAAUAGGCAUACAUAUUCUAACUAUAUUUUUACUUUUAGUUCAUGCAUGCUUCUUACAGCUCAAUUUAUGUAUAAUCCAUAUUUUUGAGGUUUCUGCAAACACAUGAUUAUAUUAUCGUUGUAAUUAAACUUUGGAUGUGAUUAUAUACUUUUUCAGGGCAUGUAUCUCAAUUAAUUUUGAUAGGAGCAAUGCUGAUUGGAAAUAUAUUUCUAUCGGAGCAAUACUGAUGAGAUACAAUUUUUUUAGAGCAAUUUGGAAAGGAUUUGAUCAUAAUAAUACUGAUUGCAAAGGUGUACAAAGUCUAAUUUAUUCAUAACAUGCGCAGUGUCUUAUCACACUGCAAUUCAAUAGUUGCAUUUUAUAUUUUGCUUAACGAAGAAUAAAUAAUCUUUAUGAUACAGGUUCCACUUAACUUUAUUGCAACCCUUUUGCUUUUGGCUAGAUAGAUGUUGACCUGUUAGCAGCAGCAGAUAUUUGUUCAAUCUGAUCUCUGAUUAUUUUUUUCUAGAGCUGUGCCCAUGAAAUAUGAACAGGUUACUUCCUCUAAUUUAUGGGCUUUGGAAGGUUUUGUUUGAUUGUUUCUACUUAUCUAUUGUUUCCACAUGUUUCCACAUGGGUGCUAAGUUUGCAGACAGGUGUUCUCCUAGCAAAAAUCAAAGAGGAGGCCAGCUUGUGGGCUUUAGCUGGGGCUAAAAGAUUGCGCGAGCUCAUCCCGCACUCUGUAUAGUGUUCAAUCUGUGAAGCUUAUCUGGGAUAAACAAAGUGGACAACUUCAGGGUUAUGACUUUGUUGAGAUUACAAGCGUUGCAGGCAGCUGCUGAUCAAGUUCUUCAUCAGACAUAUAGUGGACACUGCACAAAUGAUGCUGAAUGUUGAGAUGGUCUUUCGAUUGAAUUGGGCCAUUGUAGUUGGGAUCUGGCUGCAGAUAUUGCAGACUACAUGCUACAAGAGGCAUUUAGGGUCCAUUGCCUUUCAGUUAAGGGUGUGUUAAUAGGUUUAUGGAAUUGUGAAAUUUGUUAGUGAUCCUGUAGCAGAAGUUGAUGCAAUAACUGGAAUGAAUGGAAUGCAUUGGUCCAGCAGCAAAUAAGAGAACAACUGGGGUUCAGGAGAGAGGUCUCGAUAGUCCUGUACCAUGGAUGAGGAGGAUGUAGACUGCCAUUGGUGCGGUGAAGGGGCUCGCCUUCCUUCACUACGCCGACACACCGGUCAUCUAGCGUCUUCAAGGCAUCCAACAUCCUCCUUGACUCGGUGAGCAGCAGGCCGUUCUUGAUUUCACUGUGUUCUUUUCGCCAUCAUUUCACUCAAAAGUGCAGUAGAAAUUUUUCAGUCGUUCAACAAAAGAAACUCUCAUUGAUUCACAAUCAAGUGUAUGUAUUACUUACGUCCAUGAUCAUCCCUUCCUAGAAACAAUCAAGUUAUAUUGAAUGGGUUGUUAGUACCAUCAAGAUCUAGAGAUCGAUUGAAACAAUUGAAAACUGGAAUCGCUAAAAUCAAUGAGAGUUCUUAUGAUUUGUAGGCUGAAAAUCAAUGAAAGUUUUUUUGAUAA